CAGCAGCCGCGGGAAAACGUAGGUCCCGAGCGUUGUCCGGAAUUAUUGGGCGUAAAGGGCUCGCAGGCGGUUUCUUAAGUCUGAUGUGAAAGCCCCCGGCUCAACCGGGGAGGGUCAUUGGAAACUGGGAAACUUGAGUGCAGAAGAGGAGAGUGGAAUUCCACGUGUAGCGGUGAAAUGCGUAGAGAUGUGGAGGAACACCAGUGGCGAAGGCGACUCUCUGGUCCGUAACUGACGCUGAGGAGCGAAAGCGUGGGGAGCGAACAGGAUUAGAUACCCCCGUAGUCCCUGUCUCUUAUAC
rnacentral:rRNA from 1 species